rnacentral:rRNA from 1 species
AGAGUUUGAUCCUGGCUCAGGACGAACGCUGGCGGCGUGCCUAACACAUGCAAGUCGAACGGGGUGAGGCCCUUCGGGACCUUUACCUAGUGGCGAACGGGUGAGUAACGCGUGAGGAACCUGCCUUUCAGUGGGGGACAACAGUUGGAAACGACUGCUAAUACCGCAUGAAGCUUUUGGGAGACAUCUCCUGGAAGCCAAAGCUUAAUGUGCUGAAAGAUGGCCUCGCGUCUGAUUAGCUAGUUGGUGGGGUAACGGCCCACCAAGGCGACGAUCAGUAGCCGGUCUGAGAGGAUGAACGGCCACAUUGGGACUGAGAUACGGCCCAGACUCCUACGGGAGGCAGCAGUGGGGAAUAUUGGGCAAUGGGCGAAAGCCUGACCCAGCAACGCCGCGUGAAGGAAGAAGGCCUUCGGGUUGUAAACUUCUUUUACCAGGGACGAAGGACGUGACGGUACCUGGAGAAAAAGCAACGGCUAACUACGUGCCAGCAGCCGCGGUAAUACGUAGGUUGCAAGCGUUGUCCGGAUUUACUGGGUGUAAAGGGCGUGUAGGCGGAGAUGCAAGUUAGGAGUGAAAUCUAUGGGCUCAACCCAUAAACUGCUUCUAAAACUGUAUCCCUUGAGUAUCGGAGAGGCAAGCGGAAUUCCUAGUGUAGCGGUGAAAUGCGUAGAUAUUAGGAGGAACACCAGUGGCGAAGGCGGCUUGCUGGACGACAACUGACGCUGAGGCGCGAAAGCGUGGGGAGCAAACAGGAUUAGAUACCCUGGUAGUCCACGCUGUAAACGAUGAAUACUAGGUGUGGGGGGACUGACCCCCUCCGUGCCGCAGUUAACACAAUAAGUAUUCCACCUGGGGAGUACGACCGCAAGGUUGAAACUCAAAGGAAUUGACGGGGGCCCGCACAAGCAGUGGAUUAUGUGGUUUAAUUCGACGCAACGCGAAGAACCUUACCAGGACUUGACAUCCAACUAACGAAGUAGAGAUACAUCAGGUGCCCUUCGGGGAAAGUUGAGACAGGUGGUGCAUGGUUGUCGUCAGCUCGUGUCGUGAGAUGUUGGGUUAAGUCCCGCAACGAGCACAACCCCUAUUGUUAGUUGCUACGCAAGAGCACUCUAGCGAGACUGCCGUUGACAAAACGGAGGAAGGUGGGGACGACGUCAAAUCAUCAUGCCCCUUAUAUCCUGGGCUACACACGUAAUACAAUGGCGGUCAACAGAGGGAAGCAAAGCCGCGAGGCAGAGCAAACCCCCAAAAGCCGUCCCAGUUCGGAUUGUAGGCUGCAACUCGCCUGCAUGAAGUCGGAAUCGCUAGUAAUCGCGGAUCAGCAUGCCGCGGUGAAUACGUUCCCGGGCCUUGUACACACCGCCCGUCACACCAUGAGAGUCGGGAACACCCGAAGUCCGUAGCCUAACCUGAAAAGGAGGGCGCGGCCGAAGGUGGGUUCGAUAAUUGGGGUGAAGUCGUAACAAGGUA